GAUACCUAAAACGAUGAAAGCCCUACCUCUCUUUCAUCCUUACGGUUCCGAGACCGCGCCAGUGUGAAUCAGGUAUGUGAUACAACC
rnacentral:sRNA from 1 species